AUUGAACGCUGGCGGCAGGCUUAACACAUGCAAGUCGAGCGGAGACUUCGGUCUUAGCGGCGAACGGGUGAGUAAUACCUAGGAAUCUGCCUAUUAGUGGGGGAUAACGAAUCGAAAGGUUCGCUAAUACCGCAUACGUCCUACGGGAGAAAGGGGGGGAGUCUUCGGACCUCUCGCUAAUAGAUGAGCCUAGGCCGGAUUAGCUAGUUGGUAGGGUAAAGGCCUACCAAGGCGACGAUCUGUAGCUGGUCUGAGAGGAUGGCCAGCCACACUGGAACUGAGACACGGUCCAGACUCCUACGGGAGGCAGCAGUGGGGAAUAUUGGACAAUGGGGGCAACCCUGAUCCAGCCAUGCCGCGUGUGUGAAGAA
rnacentral:rRNA from 1 species